CGGAACGUGCCCAGUCGUGGGGGAUAACUACUCGAAAGAGUAGCUAAUACCGCAUACGAUCUGAGGAUGAAAGCGGGGGACCUUCGGGCCUCGCGCGAUUGGAGCGGCCGAUGGCAGAUUAGGUAGUUGGUGGGAUAAAAGCUUACCAAGCCGACGAUCUGUAGCUGGUCUGAGAGGACGACCAGCCACACUGGGACUGAGACACGGCCCAGACUCCUACGGGAGGCAGCAGUGGGGAAUUUUGGACAAUGGGCGAAAGCCUGAUCCAGCAAUGCCGCGUGCAGGAUGAAGGCCUUCGGGUUGUAAACUGCUUUUGUACGGAACGAAAAAGCUCCUUCUAAUACAGGGGGCCCAUGACGGUACCGUAAGAAUAAGCACCGGCUAACUACGUGCCAGCAGCCGCGGUAAUACGUAGGGUGCGAGCGUUAAUCGGAAUUACUGGGCGUAAAGCGUGCGCAGGCGGUUAUGUAAGACAGAUGUGAAAUCCCCGGGCUCAACUUGGGAACUGCAUUUGUGACUGCAUGGCUAGAGUACGGUAGAGGGGGAUGGAAUUCCGCGU
rnacentral:rRNA from 1 species